UACAGAGGUCCCGAGCGUUGUUCGGAUUCAUUGGGCGUAAAGGGUGCGUAGGCGGCGGGGAAAGUCUGAUGUGAAAUCCUGGGGCUCAACCCUGGAACUGCAUUGGAUACUUCCUUGCUAGAGUACUGGAGAGGAAACUGGAAUUUACGGUGUAGCAGUGAAAUGCGUAGAGAUCCGGAAGAACACCGGUGGCGAAGGCGGGUCUCUGGGCCGUAACUGACGCUGAGGAGCGAAAGCGUGGGGAGCGAACAGG
rnacentral:rRNA from 1 species